GAUGAACGCUGGCGGCGUGCUUAACACAUGCAAGUCGAACGAAACACCUUAUUUGAUUUUCUUCGGAACUGAAGAUCUGGUGAUUGAGUGGCGGACGGGUGAGCAACGCGUGGGUAACCUGCCCCGUACAGGGGGAUAACAGACAGAAAUGACUGCUAAUACCGCAUAAGACCCCAGCACCGCAUGGUGCAGGGGUAAAAAGUCUGGUGGUACAGGAUGGACCCGCGUCUGAUUAGCUGGUUGGUGAGGUAACGGCCCACGAGGGCGAGGAUCAGUAGCCGGGUACUGAGAGUGAGCGGAGACAUUGAGAGUGAGAAGCAGCCGGGACUCCUACGGGAGGGGGGAGUGGGGGAUAUUGCACAGUGGGGGAAGCGAUGAUGGAGUGAGGCCGGGAAAGUGAUGAAAUAUGGGAGUAUGUAAUGCUCUAGCAGCAGGGAAGGAAAUGACGGUACCUGACUAGAAAGCCCCGGCUAACUACGUG
rnacentral:rRNA from 1 species